ACGGAAGGCAGCAGUGAGGAAUAUUGGUCAAUGGGCGGAAGCCUGAACCAGCCAAGUCGCGUGAAGGAUGAAGGUAUUAUGUAUUGUAAAUUUCUUUAGCAGCAGAGUAAUAAGGGGGUCGUGACCCCCGAUGCAAGUAUGCUGAAAAUAAGGAUCGGCUAACUCCGUGCCAGCAGCCGCGGUAAUACGGAGGAUCCGAGCGUUAUCCGGAUUUAUUGGGUUUAAAGGGUGCGCAGGCGGUUUUUUAAGUCAGUGGUUAAAUCGUGAGGCUCAACCUCAUCACGCCAUUGAUACUGGAAGACUUGAUUGCGGUUGAGGUUGGCGGAAUUCGUCGUGUAGCGGUGAAAUGCAUAGAUAUGACGAAGAACACCGAUUGCGUAGGCAGCUGACCAAGCCGUAAAUGACGCUCAUGCACGAAAGUGCGGGGAUCGAACAGGAUUAGAUACCCUGGUA
rnacentral:rRNA from 1 species